GGUUGCGAUCAUACCAGCACUAAUGCACCGGAUCUCAUCAGAACUCCGCAGUUAAGCGUGCUUGGGCGAGAGUAGUACUAGGAUGGGUGACCCCCUGGGAAGUCCUCGUGUUGCAACCU
rnacentral:rRNA from 1 species